rnacentral:misc_RNA from 1 species
GAUGAAGAACGUAGCGAACUGCGAUAAGUAAUGUGAAUUGCAGAAUUCAGUGAAUCAUCGAAUCUUUGAACGCACAUUGCGCCCCCUGGUAUUCCGGGGGGCAUGCCUGUCCGAGCGUCAUUACAACCCUCAAGCUCAGCUUGGUGUUGGGCCCCGCCGCCCCGGCGGGCCCUAAAGUCAGUGGCGGUGCCGUCCGGCUCCGAGCGUAGUAAUUCUUCUCGCUCUGGAGGUCCGGUCGUGUGCUCGCCAGCAACCCCCAAUUUUUUUCAGGUUGACCUCGGAUCAGGUAGGGAUACCCGCUGAACUUAAGCAUCUCAAUAAGCGGAGGA